rnacentral:rRNA from 1 species
UUCUCCUACGGGAGGCAGCAGUUAGGAAUAUUCGUCAAUGGGGGAAACCCUGAACGAGCAAUGCCGCGUGAGUGAUGAAGGUCUUAUAGAUUGUAAAACUCUGUUGUAGAGAAAGAAACCUUAUCAUAGGGAAUGAUGAUAAGCUGACGGUACUCUACCAGAAAGCUCCGGCUAACUACGUGCCAGCAGCCGCGGUAAUACGUAGGGAGCGAGCGUUAUCCGGAUUUAUUGGGUGUAAAGGGUGUGUAGGCGGUUUAUUAAGUCUAAGAUCAAAGCCCGAGGCCCAACCUCGGUUCGUCUUAGAA